GUUGGUGGUUUGGCGAUAGGGCUACACCUGUUCUCAUUCCGAACACAGAAGUUAAGCCUGUUAGCACCGAUGGUAGUCGCAAGGCGAGAGUAGGUCACCGCCAACU
rnacentral:rRNA from 2 species